rnacentral:misc_RNA from 1 species
UUGUGGAGGAGGACGCCGAAGGUGGGGCUGAUGACUGGGGUGAAGUCGUAACAAGGUAGCCGUACCGGAAGGUGCGGCUGGAUCACCUCCUAACAGGGAGACAUAAACUGAUUAUGAUGUCUGAAAAUUUUUUAGGCCUUAAUCCUGUCACCUUAGGUCGAUCGGUACCUCAGAUUUAGAACUAAACGAUGAGUAAUCAUUUAUAAAUUUAGUUUUGAGUUUCAGUUCCUAAACUUGUCUAGGUCACACCCAACAAACUUUCUCCUGGGCUAUUAGCUCAGGUGGUUAGAGCGCACCCCUGAUAAGGGUGAGGUCCCUGGUUCAAGUCCAGGAUGGCCCAUUCGUUGUUGGGGGUAUAGCUCAGUUGGUAGAGCGCCUGCUUUGCAAGCAGGAUGUCAGCGGUUCGAGUCCGCUUACCUCCACUGAUCAACUACCUGAUAACUAUGUAUGGAGAUUGUUAUUUUGUGAAUGUGAUUUAGAUGUUGUUCCUCUGAACAGAACCUAGUUUCCUAUCAUUCCUUUAUUUGAUAUUGGUUGAUAAGACGCUGGGCUCACUGCACUUCUAAAGAUUUUCAGUUUGCUUCAGUAGAACCUUGACAACUGCAUAGAAAAGUCUAGAAAAAUAAAGCAUCUCAUUGAUGCGUAAAUUAGUUACUCAGUUAAUUCCGGGCUUCUAUUUUUACGAAACAAUUCUUGAGUUAGAGCAUAAUUCCAAUUAAUUAAAUCAAUAAAAAAUCUUUUUUUAUUGAUUAGCUAAGUUUGACUUUAGCAAAUUAAUUAGGAAUUUAUUGGUCAAGCUACAA